rnacentral:rRNA from 1 species
UACGUAGGGUGCAAGCGUUUAAUCGGAAUUACUGGGCGUAAAGCGUGCGCAGGCGGUUUUGUAAGUCUGUCGUGAAAGCCCCGGGCUCAACCUGGGAAUUGCGAUGGAGACUGCAAGGCUUGAAUCUGGCAGAGGGGGGUAGAAUUCCACGUGUAGCAGUGAAAUGCGUAGAGAUGUGGAGGAACACCGAUGGCGAAGGCAGCCCCCUGGGUCAAGAUUGACGCUCAUGCACGAAAGCGUGGGGAGCAAACAGG